AUUGAACGCCGGCGGCAUGCCUUACACAUGCAAGUCGAACGGCAGCACGGGGCAACCUGGUGGCGAGUGGCGAACGGGUGAGUAAUGCAUCGGAACGUACCUUUCAGUGGGGGAUAACGUAGCGAAAGUUACGCUAAUACCGCAUAUUCUGUGAGCAGGAAAGCAGGGGAUCGCAAGACCUUGCGCUGAUUGAGCGGCCGAUGUCAGAUUAGCUAGCUGGUGAGGUAAAGGCUCACCAAGGCGACGAUCUGUAGCGGGUCUGAGAGGAUGAUCAGCCACAAUGGAACUGGGACACGGUCCAGACUCCUACGGGAGGCAGCAGUGGGGAAUUUUGGACAAUGGGGGCAACCCUGAUCCAGCCAUGCCGCGUGAGUGAAGAAGGCCUUCGGGUUGUAAAGCUCUUUCGGCCGGGAAGAAAUCGCACGGGCUAAUACCCUGUGUGGAUGACGGUACCGGAAUAAGAAGCACCGGCUAACUACGUGCCAGCAGCCGCGGUAAUAC
rnacentral:rRNA from 1 species